rnacentral:rRNA from 1 species
ACAGAGGGGGCCAGCGUUAUUCGGAAUUAUUGGGCGUAAAGGGCGCGUAGGUGGCCAUGCGUGUCUUCCGUGAAAUCCCUCGGCUUAACCGAGGACGUGCGGAAGAAACUGCAAGGCUCGAGUCCGGAAGAGGGGGGCGGAAUUCCCAGUGUAGCGGUGAAAUGCGUAGAUAUUGGGAGGAACACCAGUGGCGAAGGCGGGUUGCUGGGCUGACACUGACGCUGAUUGUGCGAAAGCCAGGGGAGCAAACGGGA